rnacentral:rRNA from 1 species
AGUUUUAUGAUUAUUAUUCUUUCUUUUAUAAAAAUUUUAUUAGAAAUAACUUAUUUUGUAGUAUUUUUUAAUGAAAUAAUGAUUUUAAUUAUAAUGUAUGAGUACUGUGAGGGAAAUUUAAUAAAAUUAAUUAGAAGUAAUUUUAAUUUAGUGUACCUUUUGUAUCAGGGUUAAUUAAAUUAUUAUAUUUAUAUAUAUAUCCCGAAAUUAGAAGAGAUAAAGUUAAAUGUUAGUUUACGUUUUAUAGUAAUUUAUAAUUUAACUUUAGUAAUGAUAUGUUAUUCGUUUUUAAAUAUCUGGUUUUCAAAGAAUUAAAUUUAAUUUAGACUUUAUUUAUUUGUGUUUGAUAAUUAUAUUUUAUUUCAAUUUUUAAAGUUAAUAUUAUCAGGGAUAAGCUUGAUAUUAAUUCUAUAAUUAUGGUUAUAUUAGUAAUUUUGUGGGCUUGAAGUCAGCCAUCAUGGAUUUCGUUAUAGAAUAAUUAUUACUAUGAUUUAUUUUUUUAGGUUUAGAAUUUUAUUUGGAUAGUGAAUUUAAUGAUUUUGUUCAUGGAAUAAUGAUUAAAUUAGUAUUUAUUAUAAUUAAAUUAUAGGAACUCGGCAAUUUUAUUGCUCACCUGUUUAACAAAAACAUGUCCUUUUAGGAUAUUUAUAUAAGGUCUGGCCUGCCCAAUGAGGGGUUGAAUGGCUGCGGUAUUCUAACCGUGCUAAGGUAGCAUAAUCAUUUGUCUUUUAAUUGAGGGCUUGUAUGAAAGGUUGGAUGAAGUAAUAACUUUCUUUAAUUUAAUUUAUGAAUUUAAUUUUUAGGUUAAAAAGCUAAAAUGUUUUUAUAGGACGAGAAGACCCUAUAGAUCUUUACAGUUUGUUAGGUAUAAUGAUUUGGUGAAUUAUUUAUUAUUAUUCAAUGAUUUUGUUUGAUUGGGGUGAUUGUGGAAUUCUUUUAACUUCCAUUAUUCUUUUUCAAGGGUUAUUGUUUUUUUGAUCCAUUAGUAAUGAUUAGAAGAUUAAGUUACCUUAGGGAUAACAGCGUAAUUUCUUCGGAGAGUUCAUAUUGAUGAGGAAGUUUGCGACCUCGAUGUUGGAUUAAAAUUAGUGUUAGGUGUAGCAGCUUAAUAACUAGGUCUGUUCGACCUUUAAAGUUUUACAUGAUCUGAGUUCAGACCGGCGUAAGCCAGGUCAGUUUCUAUCCAUAAUUUUAUAAUGUAUUUUAGUACGAAAGGACCAAAUUCAUGGAAUAAUUUUUUGUUAUUGAUUGAUAUU